rnacentral:tRNA from 1 species
CUGCGGCUGGAUCACCUCCUUUCUAAGGAAGAUGUUGAGUAUCAUUGAAUUUAUUGAGUGAUCUGAACGUUUUUUGAAGAUUAAAGCUUUUAAUUAAGCUUGAUAUAAAUUUGCUGUUGUGAAGCAGCGUUUUUAAAAGGAUCGCCGUCCAUGUUUCUCUUUCUUUUCGGAUUUUUUGCGAUGAUGGGGGGUCGUUAAUAUUUGGUUUUGAGGGCCCGUAGCUCAGGUGGUUAGAGUGCACCCCUGAUAAGGGUGAGGUCGGUAGUUCAAAUCUACCUGGGCCCACCACUUUUUGUUCAGGGGGCCGUAGCUCAGUCGGUAGAGCGCCUGCUUUGCAAGCAGGAUGCCAGCGGUUCGAUUCCGCUCGGCUCCACCAUUGGCGUAAUUAUGGAAUUUUGUUCUGAUUUUUUGGAGCAAGAGUUUUUUGAAAAUUGAAUAGAAGAUAUAUUUUUUUGUAUUUUUUAUGUUGGCAUUGUAUGCGACAUAUAAGAUACCGGCGUUGUUAACCGCACGUUGAGAAUUUAUCUCAGGAAAUUGGUCUAUUGAAGAAGCAUAAGGAUAUUAUGUUUUUUUAAUUAUAAAGAGUUGCAAA